rnacentral:rRNA from 1 species
GGUCCGAACCCACGAGCGUUGAAAAGCUCGGGGAUGACUUGUGGGUAGCGGUGAAAUUCCAAUCGAGCCCGGAGAUAGCUGGUUCUCCCCGAAAUAGCUUUAGGGCUAGCCUCAAGGUGAGAGAUACGGAGGUAGAGCACUGAAUGUCCUAGGGGGUAUUGCACCUACCGAAGACUAUCAAACUCCGAAUGCCGUCAUCUUAUACUUGGGAGUCAGACUGUGGGUGAUAAGAUUCAUAGUCGAAAGGGCAACAGCCCAGAUCGUCAGCUAAGGUCCCUAAAUGUAAGUUAAGUGGUAAAGGAUGUGGGAUUGCACAGACAACCAGGAUGUUGGCUUAGAAGCAGCCACUCAUUCAAAGAGUGCGUAAUAGCUCACUGGUCGAGUGAUCCUGCGCCGAAGAUUUCCGGGGCUAAAACUUACUACCGAAGCUACGGCAUCAGUAAUGAUGGGUAGGGGAGCUUCCCAUACGGGUUGAAGCAUGACCGUAAGGACAUGUGGACAGUAUGGGAGUGAGAAUGUUGGCAUGAGUAGCGAGAUGUGGGUGAGAAUCCCACAGGCCGUAAACCCAAGGUUUCCAGGGGAAGGUUCGUCCGCCCUGGGUUAGGCGGGACCUAAGCUGAGGCCGAAAGGCGUAGGUGAUGGACAACAGGUUGAUAUUCCUGUACUACCGAUAACCGUUUGAGAGAAGGGAUGACACAGUAGGAUAAGCUAAGCACACUGUUGGUUAUGUGUGCCCAAGCAUUGAGGCAGUCAAAGUAGGCAAAUCCGCUUUGAUAAUGCUGGGAUGUGAUGGGGAGCGAAAUUUAGUAGCGAA